rnacentral:lncRNA from 7 species
GGAAGCUGCAGCACGCGCACCAUGGCGGAGCCGAGUUCGGCGAUUGCGCGUCGCCCACCAGAUUGCUGGAUUUCAGGGACCCCUACGCCCUCCUGCUUCUUUCAGGUGCCCAGGUUUUCUCCUGGGCAUGAAGCCAUUGGGCUAUGAUGUGUGAGGUGCAUAGAGCAAAAAAAGGGGAAGGGGGGCCCUCCAUUCCUCUAAUCUGGGAGGGACUACUAAUAUGGCUACAUGAUGGCCGGCCCUAUCAACCGAGCGUAGAGAAGCUUUGACAAAGAAAAAAGAAAUACCUUUGGAGAGGUGUAAUCUUAAGGAGGGGACAGUGAAGACAGCAACAGAGAAGAAACAAGUCCAGGUUGUUUUUUUAGCUCUUAGGCCUAUGAUAAGUAUAUGAUAGUGAGUGAGUAGUAGGCAUAAAUAAUAAUAGUAGUAGUAGUUAAUUAGUAGUCGUUUGUUAGUAGAUGCUGCCAGUGUCAAGAAGGUGAUGAAAAGGCACACUCCAGCUCUCUCCUAUGCUCGUUUGUGGCAUGGAUGGAUCUCUCACUGUUGCUAUGAUAUGUUGUUUUAUUUACAAUAUCGUGUGAAUAAAUAUUUAAUGUUUUU